rnacentral:misc_RNA from 1 species
UCUUCUCCCUGUCUCUCACGCGCGCGCUUGCAGCACCGCUGUUGACGCUCCGGCGGGGUGACAGAGACGGGCGCUCGCACAUACACACAUAUAUGCAUACACGCGCAAACACAGAACAACAUAGACACAUACAGAAGACGCACGUCAUCAGCAGCAGCGGCGGCUGUCGUGCCGAACUCCGUCUCUGGCCCCCUUCCUUUGCGGUUUAUACGUGUGCACUGCCCAGCAACCACACACACACACACACACACCGUUCCCUCCGUCGCGCAUGUUCACGCAUACGGUGCCAUCUCUCCACACCGCAGCCGCCGUCGCCCCCUCUACAGGAUCGACGUCGUCGUCAUCUGCCCACUCUGUACGUAUGCACCGGCCGCCAAAGGCUCGCACGCGAGGUGCGAGCGGUGUUCCCGCAGCACCAGCGGCAGCAGCGACGAGCAGCAGCAGCAGUAGCGCCGGUAGCGUUGUAGAUGCGCGUCGCGGUGGCAUGAAGGGCACCGCAGUUGAUCGUGCCACGGCCCCUGCGUCGUCCCACCACCGCUCAGAGCGUGACUCGCGCGUGGACACGGAAGGUUCAGACAGCGCGGCAAGGCAUACCACCCCAGCUGCCGCAGCUUCGUCAUUCUCCGACCAAGGACUACGCCAACUGCCACAGCAGCGGCGCGGCAUCACAUCGUCUACGGCCACGCCGCCUGGUAGCGCCCGCGCCUCUCACCAUAGCGACGCAGAUGUCGCGAGAGUACGAGCAGCGUUGGCGGAAGCCGGAUACCCGAACCCCUCCUGGUACGACAUCGAGCGCGUCUUCGCGCAGCUUGCUGCGAACCAGGACGAUGAUGAUGGCAACGCAGCUGCCAGACACCGCGAUACGGCACCGACUCCGUCCGCAACGUACCCCUCGCGGCGCGUCGUGCAGGAAAAUACUCUUGAAGAGGGGCAUGGGGCGGUGUACUACCACAACACCCACGGUGCAGCCAUGGCCCCGCCACCAGUAUCGCCACCCAAACAGCAGCAACAACAGCAGGAGGAUUACCCGACCGAGUCCAGCGGCCUUCUCCAACACCUCGAGCCGUCGUUGCGCCUGCAGCGCUACAUCCACCUACGCGAGCGGGAGCUGGAAAAGCUGUGCUUGCGGCCCUCUUCCAGCGCCCCUCAGGCGCAGCAGCAACGGCAGCCGCCUGUCUCACCAGCGGUGCACGGGUCCGGGACACUACACAGCCACAGCCGUGACGCCCCGCAUGCCUCUCAAAUGAAGGCAGCAAGUUUGCGAGGAGCAGCGGGCGAGAGAGCUGGAAAGCAGCCGCAGCGGCGGCGUAGCUCUGCUGCGGCCGUGCCACACGCGCAACGCAUACGUGGUGGCGGCGAUGCUGUUGGCACAGGGGCAGCUGCCUCUGGUGACGCGCAGGUGACGGUCAUGGCCGCCCAUCACCGUCGUGCGGCGAACAUCGUCUUCGACGCGACGGGCGAUCAGCGCUUCCGUUUCUUUCCCACGACGCGUACGCCACCGGGAACCGGCACGUUGGUCGCGAUGGCACCCGUCGCUCGCACAUCAUCGUCGUCGACGUCGACGACAGUCCUCACAGGCGCCGCGCCGGCCACAAGCCUGGGGAGCUACCACAACUACUAUCAGUGCCCUCGGCCGAGCUCCUGCAACACCGUGGGAGGGCAGGUGUCCUACCUCGACCCGGAGGGGCGCACGCUGCGGCGCAAGGCGGAUCCGGUGAAGCGCGGCGAGCAGAUGCGCCUCUUGUGGGCGAAGGACAGCUUCCUAUCGCAGCGGGACCGCCCGCGCGAAGCGUGGCGCACUCGGCAGAUUACCAUGGCGUAUGGCCAGGGUUCCGACGGUGGCGAAAUACACCACGGAUAGGACUGUUGGCACCUUGCGUGCGUGUGCGUGUGCGUGUGCGUGUGCGUGUGUGUGUGUGGGGGGGGGGGGGGGCAUCAUCACGCGCAUGCGCACGUGUGUGCCUGCCCCGCUGCCCCCUCUCUCUCCCGUGCUUCCUUCCUUUUCUCUUCCUCUCGUGUUCUGUGGCGCUGCUUUGGGUCUCGUGCAGCGUUGUCCUGAUUUCGGGUCGGGGUGUGCAGAUGCCGGUCGUGCAGCCAAGCGCCAUCAAGAAGCAAGAAGGGGGUAAAGUAACCGUGAUAAGGGCAAGGCGUGGCCCUCCUCACUUCUGUGGGGUUACUGGCGGGCAGUCGCGGCGACGACGGCGGUGGUGGCCGAGAUCGUGCGGGCACGCGGGGAAGAGGAGGCUGUACGAAGGAUGUGAUCCUCCGCUCUCCGCGCCCCACCCUACUCCUCCGCUCCAUCAGGCGAGAGAAAGGGGGAGGCUGCAGUGGCAGUGAGGGGACCCUCUGACACAUGUGCAUCUUGUCGAAGUGUGUGUGCUGCUGCUGCUGCUGCUGCUGCUGCCGCUGCUGGUCGCUCUCGCACUAGCCUCAUAGAGCACACAAGCGUGCAACGCACAUACGCCGCGUACGUGCAACAUCGUUGCCCACCAUCGCCCCUUCUCCCUCACCUCUCUCUAUCUGUGUGUGUGUGUGUGUGUGUGUGUGUGUGUGUGUGUGUGUGUGUGUGUGUCGGCCUGCAUGCGUGCGUGUGUUUUACUUUUGGCAUCGGCAUUCAUCUCCUCCGCUCUUGGCACAACUCCGGCUGAUCAG